UACGAGGGGGGCAAGCGUUGUUCGGAAUUAUUGGGCGUAAAGGGCGCGUAGGCGGUGCGGUAAGUCUGAUGUGAAAUCUCCGGGCUCAACUCGGAGUCCGCAUCAGAAACUGCCGUGCUCGAGUGUGGGAGAGGUGAGUGGAAUUCCCGGUGUAGCGGUGAAAUGCGUAGAUAUCGGAAGGAACGCCGGUGGCGAAAGCGACGUGCUGGACCCUUUCUGACGCUGAGGCGCGAAAGCCAGGGGAGCAAACGGG
rnacentral:rRNA from 1 species